CCCAGAUUUCCACUAUAUAAUUUUUUUUCCUGUCUCCCCCUUUUCUAAUUUUUUGGUUUGAUUGGUGUGGCGAAACCAACCUCGCCACUGUACACUGGAGAAGCCUGGUUGCUCGCCUGCUGCCUUUGGACUAUGGCCCCAUGUUAAAAGACAUCUUUUUUCCCUGCAGAAAAGACUUAUUCGUGCUUUUCUGCCGGGUGUUCGGUAGAUUUGUUUGAGUGUGUUGUGCCCCAGAUAGGAAUCCCAUGGAGCCCAUUCGCAUGAAACUGACUGUGUAAAG